AUGGCGGCCGCGGGAGAUCCUCUCCAAGGUCAAGCACAUCCAGGCCAAGCCUGCUGGCCGCCCUCGCGGGUGACUGCCUCCGCGGUGACGACGGCGGCCUCGUCGUCCCCGGAGGCCGCGGCACCCCUCAAGGCCGACCUCCGCCACGUGAGUGAUCUGUCGAUCUCGUCUCUCCAACAGUGUUCCGGAUGCACGCACGAGUUCGACCUGGACAAGCCGCCGGUGCUGCAGGAGGUGGCGGAUUUCUUCAGUGGCCACGGAAUCGAGGACUUCACCUUCAGCAAGGGCAGGCUGGGGAUCCCGAUCAACAUGCAGUUCCCGGGGCCGCAGAUCGACGCCGUCACCAACGACAACAUCGUCAUCAACAUCUUCAACAACCUGAUCUGA
rnacentral:rRNA from 1 species